rnacentral:lncRNA from 1 species
AGGGAAGCUUGGCUGUUCACAAACCUCUCCUGCCCUCGAGGAGACAGCUUGGCAGGAGCGGCCGAUCUCACCUUGUCAUUGUGACACGGUGUCUCCCCAAAGUGCCGACUUCAUGACUUGUUGUGCCCAAAGUUUAAUUUCCCACAGAACAGGUAGAGGCCAAGAGCUUCUCGCAGCCUCAGCCGCAGGGUUGCCAUGAUUAACUCUUAAGUACUCCACAGCUACACGCUUCUGAAACUGGCGGAGGCACAGCGUCAGUUCUGUACAGGGCGGACGCAGCAGGACAGAAUCUCCCUGGGCAUCUUUCUGGAGCAUCAAAUUUACUGCAAGAUUUUAAAGAAACAAAUUUAGUUGAUUUCCAAGAGGAAAGGCCAUGUGAAGAUGCAGCUAGAAGGUGGCCAUCUGCAGGCCGGAAAGCAAGCCCUCACCAGGAACCAACCCUGACAGCACCUUGAUCUAGACAUCCAGCCUGCAGAACUGUGAGAAAAUAAACUGCUGCUGCUUAACCACCCAAUCUAUGGCAGCCCUAGCCAAGUCAUACAGGAGGGAAGGUGGCCAAUAAAGAGUGUAUUGUUAAGCCAGCUACCCCUGUAGGCAAUGAAGGUUGGCCUACUGCAGAACUCUCUGGAACGUGUCAUAAAUGCUUCAGAGUUACCCACCCAAGAGGGCAGACUCAUGCAUUUAUCAACUAACUCCUGAAAGUCACUAAGGAUGACUUUCAGGAGGCGAUAAUGCCCUAGAUGUGGAACAGCUUCAGAGAAAGCCCUAGGGCAAGGUGAUGUGGCUACUGGCAGCGGGAUAUCAGGCCGGUGUGCAGUGAGAAGAAAUUCGGACCUCCACUGAAGGCCUGAGAUAAGAGGGUCUCACUCUGUUGCCCAGGUUGGAGUACAGUGGUAUGAUCUCAGCUCACUGAAGCAUCAACCUCUCCAGCUCGGGCAAUCCUCCCACCUCAACCUCCCGGGUAGCUGGAACUACAAACACACACCACCACGCUAGCUAAUUUUUUGUAUUUUUUGUAGAAAUGGGAUUUUGCCGUGUUGCCCAGGCUGGUCUCGAACUCCUGACCUCAAGUGAUUCACCCGCCUAGGCCUCCCAAAGUGCUGGGGUUACAGGCGUGAGCCACCUCGCUCAGCCUUUUUGUUUUUUUUUUAAGACAGAGUCUCACUCUGUUGCCCACACUGGAGUACAGUGGUGCUAUCUCAGCUCACUGCAGCCUCCAUCCACCUCCCAGGUUCAAGGGAUUCUCCUGCCUCAGCCUCCAAAGUAGCUGGGACUCCAAAUACGAACCACCAAGCCUGGCUAAUUUUAUGUAUUUUUUAGUGGAGUUAGGGUUUCACUAUGUUGAUGAGGCUGGUCUCAAAUGCCUGACCUCAAGUGAUCUGCCUGCCUAGGCCUCCCAAAGUGUUGUGAUUGCAGGCAUGAGUCACUGCACCCAGCCAAUAUAUUUAGAUACACAAAUACUUACCAUUGUGUUGCAAUUGCAUGCAGUAUUCAGUGCAGUCACACACUGUGCAGGUUUGUAGCUUAGGAGCAAUAGGCUACAUCAUCCAGCCUAGGUGUGUAGUAGACCACACGAUCUAGGUUUAUAUCAAUACACUCUAUGAUUUCACACAACCAUGAAAUCGUGUAACAAUGCAUUUCUCAGAAACUAUUCUUGUCAUUGAGCAACACAUGACUCUACAUGAGUUACUAAAUAUGUUAAAACUGAUCAAAUUGUAUACAUUUUUUUUUCCAAGAUGGAGUUUCACUCCUGUUGCCCAGGCUGGAGUGCAAUGGUGACAUCUCAGCUCAUUGCAACCUCCACUUCCCGGGUUCAAGAGAUUCUCCUGCCUCAGCCUCUAGAGUAGCUGGGAUUACAGGCACUCGCCACCACACCUGGCUAAUCUUUAAAAAAUAUUUCCGGUAUUACAUACCGCAAUUAUACCUGAAUCAAAUUGGGGGAAAAAAAAAGUCAACUCAAGGAACUAGAAUAAAACAUUUUGAGAAGGAGAGCUUCACCUCCCCACUGGCCCUGAAUUUCCAUGUGUUUUAACCCAUCUUCUAAUUUUAGAUAGAAAA